rnacentral:rRNA from 1 species
UACGUAGGGGGCUAGCGUUGUCCGGAAUCAUUGGGCGUAAAGCGCGUGUAGGCGGCCCGGUAAGUCCGCUGUGAAAGUCGGGGGCUCAACCCUCGGAUGCCGGUGGAUACUGUCGGGCUCGAGUACGGAAGAGGCGAGUGGAAUUCCUGGUGUAGUGGUGAAAUGCGCAGAUAUCAGGAGGAACACCGAUUGCGAAGGCAGCUCGCUGGGACGUUACUGACGCUGAGACGCGAAAGCGUGGGGAGCAAACAGG